GUAGAUACACUGGGGUAGAACUGUACUGUAUAGUAGAUACACUGGGGUAGAACUAUACAUUAUAGUAGACACACUAGGGGUACAACUGUACAGUAUAGUAGAUACACUGGGGUAGAACUGUACUGUAUAGUAGAUACACUAGGGGUAGAACUGUACAGUAUAGUAGACACACUAGGGGUAGAACUGUACAGUAUAGUAGACACUGGGGUAGAACUGUAUAGUAUAGUAGACACACUAGGGAUAGAACUAUACAGUAUAGUAGAUGCACUAGGGGUAGAACUAUACAGUAUAGUAGACACACUAGGGGUAGAACUGUACAGUAUAGUGGACACAUUAGGGGUAGAACUGUACAGUAUAGUAGACACACUAGGGGUAGAACUGUACAGUAUAGUAGACAAACUAGGGGUACAACUGUACAGUAUAGUAGAUACACUAGGGGCAGAACUGUACAGUAUAGUAGACACACUGGGGUAGAACUGUACAGUAUAGUAGACACAAUAGGAGUAGAACUGUACUGUAUAGUAGAUACACUAGGCGUAGAACUGUACAGUAUAGUAGACACACUGGGGUAGAACUGUACUGUAUAGUAGAUACACUGGGGUAGAACUAUUACAGUAUAGUAGAUACAUUAGGGGUAGAACUGUACUGUAUAGUAGAUACACUACGGGUAGAACUGUACAGUAUAGUAGACACACUGGGGUAGAACUUUACAGUAUAGUAGAUACACUGGGGUAGAACUGUACUGUAUAGUAGAUACACUGGGGUAGAACUAUACAUUAUAGUAGACACACUAGGGGUAGAACUGUACAGUAUAGUAGAUACACUGGGGUAGAACUGUACUGUAUAGUAGAUACACUAGGGGUAGAACUGUACAGUAUAGUAGACACACUAGGGUAGAACUGUACAGUAUAGUAGACACUGGGGUAGAACUGUAUAGUAUAGUAGACACACUAGGGAUAGAACUAUACAGUAUAGUAGAUGCACUAGGGGUAGAACUAUACAGUAUAGUAGACACACUAGGUAGAACUGUACAGUAUAGUGGACACACUAGGGGUAGAACUGUACAGUAUAGUAGAUACACUAGGGGCAGAACUGUACAGUAUAGUAGACACACGGGUAGAACUGUACAGUAUAGUAGAACACAAUAGGAGUAG
ensembl:lncRNA